rnacentral:rRNA from 1 species
AUUUAGAGGAAGUAAAAGUCGUAACAAGGUUUCCGUAGGUGAACCUGCGGAAGGAUCAUUAGAGCGUGAUCAGGGGGGGUUUAAGAUGCCGCGUUCGCGCGUGCUCCCCUCCCGCCUUCAUAUUAACACCUGUGCACCCAUGGCGAGCGCCUCCCGUUCGGAGCCGUCCGGCGUUUCGACGUCGGGCCGGGGCGCUCCCAUCUUCUUUACACCUCAGCCUGUUUUAAACGCAUGUCGUCGCCUCACGGGGCAAAGAGUUAAAUACAACUUUCAACAACGGAUCUCUUGGCUUUCGCAUCGAUGAAGAACGCCGCGAAUGUGCGAAACGUAAUGUGAAUUGCAGAAUUCAGUGAAUCAUCGAAUCUUUGAACGCAUCUUGCGCCCCUUGGUAUUCCGAGGGGCAUGCCUGUUUGAGCGUCGUGAACACCCCUCAAGCGCCGCCCUUUUGCCGGGGUYGGGGCUUGGACCUGGACGUUUGCGGGGCCCUCUGGCCCCGCUCGUCUUUAAAUGCAUUAGCUUUGGUCUUGGUUCCAGCGACGGUGUGAUAACAAACGCUUCGUUGACCGUGGCGCCGCUCGUUAACGGCCGGGACCCUGCUUACAGUCGUCUUCGGACAAAGCCGCUCAUGUCGUCUGACCUCAAAUCAGGUAGGACUACCCGCCGAACUUAAGCAUAUCAAUAAGCGGAGGAAAAGAAACUAACAAGGAUUCCCCUAGUAACGGCGAGUGAAGCGGGAUGAGCUCAAAUUUGUAAUCUGGCGGCCUCU